rnacentral:rRNA from 1 species
GUUUGAUCCUGGCUCAGAUUGAACGCUGGCGGAAUGCUUUACACAUGCAAGUCGAACGGCAGCACGAGAGCUUGCUCUUGGUGGCGAGUGGCGAACGGGUGAGUAAUAUAUCGGAACGUAUCCAAUAAUGGGGGAUAACUAAUCGAAAGGUUGGCUAAUACCGCAUACGCCCUACGGGGGAAAGCAGGGGAUCUUCGGACCUUGCGUUAAUGGAGCGGCUGAUAUCUGAUUAGCUAGUAGGUGAGGUAAAGGCUCACCUAGGCUUCGAUCAGUAGCUGGUCUGAGAGGACGACCAGCCACACUGGAACUGAGACACGGUCCAGACUCCUACGGGAGGCAGCAGUGGGGAAUUUUGGACAAUGGGGGCAACCCUGAUCCAGCCAUUCCGCGUGAGUGAAGAAGGCCUUCGGGUUGUAAAGCUCUUUCGCAAGGGAAGAAACGUUGCGAGCGAAUAAUUUGUGAUAAUGACGGUACCUUGAUAAGAAGCACCGGCUAACUACGUGCCAGCAGCCGCGGUAAUACGUAGGGUGCGAGCGUUAAUCGGAAUUACUGGGCGUAAAGCGUGCGCAGGCGGUUUUGUAAGUCAGAUGUGAAAUCCCCGAGCUCAACUUGGGAACUGCGUUUGAAACUACAAGGCUAGAGUAUGGUAGAGGGGGGUAGAAUUCCACGUGUAGCAGUGAAAUGCGUAGAGAUGUGGAGGAAUACCAAUGGCGAAGGCAGCCCCCUGGACUAAUACUGACGCUCAUGCACGAAAGCGUGGGGAGCAAACAGGAUUAGAUACCCUGGUAGUCCACGCCCUAAACGAUGUCUACUAGUUGUUGGGAGAGUAAAAUCUCUUAGUAACGCAGCUAACGCGU